rnacentral:rRNA from 1 species
UACAGAGGUCUCAAGCGUUGUUCGGAUUCAUUGGGCGUAAAGGGUGCGUAGGCGGCCUGACAAGUGGAAGGUGAAAUCCCUCGGCUUAACCGAGGAACUGCCCUCCAAACUGUUUGGCUUGAGACCGGGAGAGGUGAGUGGAAUUCCCAGUGUAGCGGUGAAAUGCGUUGAUAUCAGGAGGAACACCCAUGGCGAAGGCAGCUAACUGGGCAUUAUCUGACGCUGAGGCGCGAAAGCGUGGGUAGCAAACAGG